AGCAGAGCAACGGCAGAGAGAAUGAGAGAGAGGCAAAAUGCAGUGGGAGAGUGAGAGAGAGGCAGAAUGCAGAAACUGCAUUCUGCCUCUGCAAUGGCAGAUAUUAAAAUGAAGAAGAAGGACUUUGCGCGACGAACAAUCCAAUUCGUCGCGCAAAAUGCCGUCGCAAAAAAUCACUUUUCCGUCGCACAAAACAACAUUUCCGUCGCGCAAUUACCUGCCGACAUCUGGUUUUUUGCGCGACGAACUAAAUUAUCCGUCGCACAAACAUUCGUCGCGCAAAUAAGAUUAUUCGUCGCGCAAAUUAUUCAUUUCGUCGCGCAAGAAAGCACCGGCAUCACACUUUACGCGACGAAGGUGGUUCCGUCGCGCAAAAAAGUUUUAUCCACCCUGCAUUUUGCCGCCAAAAAUAAGUAAACCCUCG
rnacentral:lncRNA from 1 species